rnacentral:rRNA from 1 species
AACGUAGGGGACAAGCGUUAUCCGGAUUUACUGGGCGUAAAGCGCCCGUAGGCAGCUUAGCAAGUUGGACGUGAAAGCUCCUGGCUUAACUGGGAGAGGCCGUACAAAACUGCCAAGCUAGAGGUUGGAAGAGGAGAGCGGAAUUCCCGGUGUAGUGGUGGAAUGCGUAGAUAUCGGGAGGAACACCAGUGGCGAAAGCGGCUCUCUGGUCCAGACCUGACGCUGAGGGGCGAAAGCGUGGGGAGCGAACGGGAUUAGAUACCCCCGUAGUCC